rnacentral:lncRNA from 1 species
UAGAUAAUGUAGGAACUUAUUUGUAUUUUUUAAAGAAAAGCACUAUCAACGCAAAAUGAGACAUAUCCAAACUAAGAAAAUUCAAAGCCAAACGAAACUCAUGCCAUCUCAUUUUGACAUGUCAUGUAGAUCACACGGAAAACUUUCAUGAACGACAGAAAAGGUUAGAUAGAAAGGUGAAGAAAUCAUAAAAGAAACCCUCAAGAAAAGCCAAUUCCCCA